ensembl:antisense predicted gene 16299
AUUAUGGGUAGCAGGAACUGCGCAAGAUCCACCGAAGGAUGGCCUUACAGCUACACCCAGAGAAAAUAUGUCUUCAGCGGGUGUGAGAAGCCAGUUUACAGCCCGAGGAGUCUGGACAGCCCUUGUAGAAACCUGAUGACUCUGUUUAUGACGACUCAGACAGCCAAGGAGAAGCCAUGGCUCUGUCAAAUAGCUCAGCCUAAGUGAAAAGCAACACCCAUCCCUGGAGACCCUGAAGAGAGAGAGUGACAGAGGCUGGGGACACACAAAUCACAGGCCACUAGCAAACAUGGUGUGCAACUGUCUCUCCAAGGUCCCAUCUCUAUCAAAAUAAACACGGGAAAGAAAGACUCAAGCGGAGCCGAGGCCAGUUCAGAUUCAGCCCAGCUGCUGCUGCAGCAGCCGGCUUCUGUGGCAGUUUUAGAUUUUGUGGCACUUUGGGUAUGUUUUGCACUCUCCCUCCUCCAGCCCCUGUGUUGCUUUGUCCUCCUGCGUAGAAAGGGAGCUUUCAGAGUAGCAAUGGGUUUUUGUUGGUGGUGGUCCACAAACAAUAGUGCUCCCGCUGGGACAGAGUCUUGGUUACUGGUCUUGCUCAACAGAGUAUGUUCCUGGAAAGACUUGCGUCAAUGGACUCAGAAAGAAAAGACCCCAGUACAAGCCCAAGGCAUGACUUCAGAGAGAAAUGCGUCAUAGCCCAUUGUCUUUGGAGGUCUCUGUAAGCAGGGGGCAGAAGUCCAUGACUGCUCUGAGGGGCUGCCCUGAGCCUUCACAGAGCCUGUGAAAUAGUUUUCAAUGGCAGCUCAGCUCCUCCGCAGGUUCAGCUCCUCAGCAGGCUAACCUUGUCUUCUAGUGUCAGCAUUUUUACAUUUCAGGUUUCCCAGAGAGAGAAACUGCCUGCCUUCAAUUCCCCUCACCAGAACAGGCCAACUGGUCACCAGCACUAGACAGAAGAACUCCACUGAAUAAUAGCACACUGGUAAUGUUGGACCUGGUGGGAGUCCCUGACCCCCAACGUAUCCUCAAGGAGGUUCACGUGGCCAGCAUGACGUCAUAAAGCUUGUAAUGAUACAACCAGUCAAAUGAAGCUUCUCCCCUCCCGUGGGAUCUACAAGAAGCACUCGGGAUGCCUGUGUUCAUCUUGGGAGCUGUGCUGCAGUGCAGAAGAACCCGAGGGUCCCACAGUCCUGGAAUCUUUCCCUUGUUCUAUGGCUGCCCAUGGCUAGGUAGGUUCCUGUCACACCUAACGUUGGCUCACUCUUCCUCCUUCUCUCCUCCUCUUCCUCCUCCUCCUGAGGAGCUUAGGGGUGAAGUGUAGGAAGAAAGAAGAGAAAUUUACUAAGUCAUUGUAAGGAGAAGUCCUCUAAGAACCUGGAGGCAGAGCUCUGUGGCUCUAGGGCAAGGUGUGGGGCUCCCAGAUCCAGGUUGCUUCAACCUUAAACCACCUCCAUUUUCCAGCACUGUUACCUCAGGAGAGGUACCAAGUCUCUCUUGGCCCCAGUUUCUCAACUAUACAAUAAGGUAAUAAUAGUACCUAUGUAUGGGGCUGUCUGGAAAACUAAAUGAGCUCAUAUGUUGCAGAAAGGUAAACACAACAGACAUGUUAGCUAUAGUCUGUGGCAUCUGGGAUCUCCAUCUCCUACCAGCUGUCUAUGUAGAAGCAUAGUGUUGUAUAAGCUUCCCACCUCUAGCCAUUUAGGAGAAGUGGUCCUCAGAGAUUCGUUUGAGUUAGCACAGAAUGUCAGAGCCAUCACCCCUGCUCUUCAUCACAUGGCUAGAGUUUGCCUGGCUUGUACGGGGCCUCCAUGGGAACCUCAGGUCACCCAGAGAGAAGCAGAUAUAACAAGCAGACCAAUGUAAGGACAACAUUGGCACAGAAGCCUGGGCAGAGUCACAGCUAGCACACAGUGGUAGAAAGAUUUAUUACCCAGUAACAACCGUUGUUAGUUCCGUGGGUCGUAACUAGUUAGGACCGUGUACAAAGCGUUGUCACAGACACCAUCCGUGUAGGUGAUAGACACUUAGGUCUAUCCCACGCUGUGGGAUGGCCUCAUCCUCUGCCUUGGGCACCAGGCUAGGAGGCCAUGUGUAACAUGGCAAGAUGUAAGGCAUAGUACAAAGAGGUUACAACUCAUAUGAAAACUUAGAAUUUCUCCUACCUCUCAAACUCAUCAUUUGGAAAGUUACUAUCCAUAUGUCCGUCCAUAAAGGAAUGGAGUUUUAGAGAAGUCAAAUGACCCAUCUGUGGCCCACACAGCUCUCAGCUCCAGCACUCAGACCUGAAUUUAGAUCUCUGAUUCCAAGGCCACAGGCUCAGUGGUCAACGCUGGAUGAUGUGUGGGACAAACUCAGAACUGCCCUGCCCGUGGCUCUCACAGCCUUUUCUAAUUGCCCCCAAAGGGGCUCAAGUGAUACCAGCUCUCAUUUUACACCCAAAGCUCGAGGAGACGUCAGGGUGCAGGCUCUGACCCCAGACUGCUUGUCACCCAGGCCAGCCUCCUCCCAGCCUGGAUAAGAGUAAAUGGUAGAAACCACAAAACUAACUUUAACUGAAAUAUGAACUUCCAGAUAAGCACUCUUUCCUAAGGGACUUCUACUCAACACCAUGGAUAUACAGACAUGGAGAGAGCGGCAUGUGGAGACCUGCCCAGCAGAGCAUGUGAGAGGAGAGGGGAAGGAGGCCACAGCUGAGCCGCUCACCAGGCGUCUCUGACAGGGCUUGACCAGGGGCAUUUCUUUUGCUGCAGGUUUUGAUGGCAGGCGUGAGGGCAAU